rnacentral:rRNA from 1 species
UACGUAGGGACCAAGCGUUGUUCGGAUUUACUGGGCGUAAAGGGCGCGUAGGCGGCAAUUUCAAGGUCAGCUGUGAAAUCUCCGGGCUUAACUCGGAAAGGUCAACUGAUACUGUGGCGGCUAGAGUGCGGAAGGGGCAACUGGAAUUCUUGGUAGUAGCGGUGAAAUGCGUUAGAUAUCAAGAAGGAACACCUGAGGUGAAGACGGGUUGCUGGGCUGACACUGACGCUGAGGCGCGGAAAGCUAGGGGUAGCAAACGGG